AAUAGAUACCCUGGUAGUCCACGCCGUAAACGAUGAGUGCUAAGUGUUAGGGGGGUUUUCCGCCCCUUAGUGCUGCAGCUAACGCAUUAAGCACUCCGCCUGGGGAGUACGGUCGCAAGACUGAAACUCAAAGGAAUUGACGGGGGCCCGCACAAGCGGUGGAGCAUGUGGUUUAAUUCGAAGCAACGCGAAGAACCUUACCAGGUCUUGACAUCCCGCUGAUCGCUAUGGAGACAUAGUUUUCCCUUCGGGGACAGCGGUGACAGGUGGUGCAUGGUUGUCGUCAGCUCGUGUCGUGAGAUGUUGGGUUAAGUCCCGCAACGAGCGCAACCCUUGUUCUUAGUUGCCAUCAUUUAGUUGGGCACGUCUAAGGAGACUGCCGGUGACAAACCGGAGGAAGGUGGGGAUGACGUCAAAUCAUCAUGCCCCUUAUGACCUGGGCUACACACGUGCUACAAUGGACGGUACAAACGGUCGCGAAGUCGCGAGACGGAGCCAAUCCGAUAAAACCGUUCUCAGUUCGGAUUGUAGG
rnacentral:rRNA from 1 species